UGAUGUCUUGUAUGCUUAAUAGCACUUUCUAUUAUACUUGAAGCGGAUGUGUGAUCAAAAGAAGAGUUUUUAUAACACUGGACGUCAAGGCACACAUUGGACAUCAUAAUGGAAAGCCACUAGUCAACCAAAAUUGGGGAAGAUAGCUUUAAAUGAUGAUACUGAAAGCUUUGGCAGCUCUCCGACCUGUGGUAUAACCUUGCUGGCAGCUAAGCACCACAUAGCUGUUUGCUCACCCUCCCCCCCAGUGCAAUGGGGGAGAGAAUUGAGGGGAAAAAAAAUGUAAAAGCACGUGGGUUGAGAUAGACAGUUUAUUAGGACAGAAAAUAAGGAAAAAUAAUAACUAUAAUAGUAAUAAUAAUGUGUACAAAAGAAGUGAUGCACAAAGCAAUUGCUUACCAGCUGCUGAUUGAUGCCCAUCCCAUCCCUGAGCAAUGGUCUCCCCACCCUGGCCAGCCAGCCCAUAUUAAUUGUUCAUUAUGUCGUCAUAUGGUAUGGAAGAUCCAUAUCUGUCCCCUCCCAGCUCCUGCUACACCCCAGCCUCCUCACUGGCAGUGUGGUAUGAGAAGCUGGAAAGUCCUUGGCUUAGUGUAAACACUGCUCAGCAAUGGCUUCAAUAUUGGUAUGAUUGGUUACUACACUGAUAGUUCAGCACCAGACGAAGUGGAAAUAUUAGGUAUGUCCAGCCAGCCCAUGGAUGUCUGUGUUAGUUGAAUGAGGUGAAUGGACAGGAAGUCGUCUGAGCUUAAGGUCACCCCGAGUCCUUCAAAAGCAGGUCUUCUUGGCACAGGCUUUCAGAUAAGAAACAGAUGGAAGGAAGGAAACCUCAUGCAGUUGUUUAAAAUGGAUGAGUAAAGGAUUGGAGGCUAACUGUAAAUAUCACUGGAAGACUAAUUC